ACGCUCGACACCUACGGGAGGCAGCAGUGGGGGAUAUUGCACAAUGGAGGAAACUCUGAUGCAGCGACGCCGCGUGAGGGAAGAAGGUUUUCGGAUUGUAAACCUCUGUCUUCGGUGACGAAAAUGACGGUAGCCGAGGAGGGAAGCCACGGCUAACUACGUGCUAGCAGCCGCGGUAAUCUGAGCGGGCUGGCAAGGC
rnacentral:rRNA from 1 species